CCUACGGGCGACAGCAGUGGGGGAUAUUGCACAAUGGGGGGAACCCUGAUGCAGCAACGCCGCGUGGGUGAAGAAGCACUCCGGUGCGUAAAGCCCUGUCAGCAGGGAAGAAAAUGACGGUACCUGACGAAGAAGCCCCGGCUAACUACGUGCCAGCAGCCGCGGUAAUACGUAGGGGGCAAGCGUUAUCCGGAUUUACUGGGUGUAAAGGGGGCGCAGACGGCGAGGCAAGCCAGGAGUGAAAGCCCGGGGCCCAACCACGGGACUGCUCUUGGAACUGCGUGGCUGGAGUGCAGGAGGGGCAAGCGGAAUUCCUGGUGUAGCGGUGAAAUGCGUAGAUAUUAGGAGGAACACCGGUGGCGAAGGCGGCCUGCUGGACUGCAACUGACGUUGAGGCCCGAAGGCGUGGGGAGCAAACAGGAUUAGAUACCCGAGUAGUC
rnacentral:rRNA from 1 species